ACCGGUUAACAAGGGAGAAAAACAAGGUCAGCGAGACACGGGCGGCACGAGUACUUCCUCCCACUCCGCUGCUUGCGUCACCACUCGUGGGCAAGCGGCAACUACGAAAAGACUAUCAAUCAUUGUACUUUUUGAUAUUCACAAAAUUGAACGGCGAACUAUCAAGGAGCCACCAAACAGCAUGCACUUCUGUGAUAGGGAGGGGUCGAGGCAUCGGGUCUGAUAAACCCUUAUCAGGCUUAAUCACCCGUCUCACUCCCGCCCAGACCCUGGCUGCAUGAACUACCCAUGACUCAGCUAAACUCAACAUCAAUGUCUUUAAUGCAUUCAACAUCUUUUUACAUUUUGGGGAAUGUGCCGUUAUGAGAGGUACAUGAUUGCGCUCAGGUCUGUUGGCUCUGUGUGUGGGUGCAGCUGUUAAGUUGCUUCAUUGCGUAUUCUAUUUUCUAAUAAUAAUCAAUCUAAAAAUCAUACACUUAUGUUUUGUUAUUUUAUAUAAUGGUUUAUGAUGAAAAUGUUUGUGCUUUGUUCAAUUUUGUGUCUAAACGGUGACAUAUCGUUAUCAUUAUGUAAUAUGUGUUCGUGUAAAGUGUUUUAUUAAAUGUUUUGUCAAAUAAACACAAUGAUUGAAGAGUCUGGUCGCUUUAGAAUUUAAAAAUUAAAAUUUAUAUCGCUUU